rnacentral:rRNA from 1 species
CCUACGGGUGGCUGCAGUGGGGAAUAUUGGACAAUGGGCGAAAGCCUGAUCCAGCCAUGCCGCGUGUGUGAAGAAGGCCUUCGGGUUGUAAAGCACUUUCAGUGGGGAAGAAAGCCUUGGGGCUAAUACCCUCGAGGAAGGACAUCACCCACAGAAGAAGCACCGGCUAACUCCGUGCCAGCAGCCGCGGUAAUACGGAGGGUGCGAGCGUUAAUCGGAAUUACUGGGCGUAAAGCGCGCGUAGGCGGUCUGAUAAGCCGGUUGUGAAAGCCCCGGGCUCAACCUGGGAACGGCAUCCGGAACUGUCAGGCUAGAGUGCAGGAGAGGAAGGUAGAAUUCCCGGAGUAGCGGUGAAAUGCGUAGAGAUCGGGAGGAAUACCAGUGGCGAAGGCGGCCUUCUGGACUGACACUGACGCUGAGGUGCGAAAGCGUGGGUAGCAAACAGGAUUAGAUACCCUAGUAGUC